rnacentral:rRNA from 1 species
GACGAACGCUGGCGGCGUGCUUAACACAUGCAAGUCGAACGGAAAGGCCCUGCUUUUGUGGGGUGCUCGAGUGGCGAAAGGGUGAGUAACACGUGAGUAACCUGCCCUUGACUUUGGGAUAACUUCAGGAAACUGGGGCUAUUACCGGAUAUGAGCUCCUGCUGCAUGGGGGGUGUGGGAAAGUUUCGGCGGUUGGGGAUGGAAUCGCGGUUUAUCAGCUUGUUGGUGGGGUAGUGGCUUACCAAGGCUUUGACGGGUAGCCGGCCUGAGAGGGUGACCGGCCACAUUGGGACUGAGGUACGGCCCAGACUCCUACGGGAGGCAUCAGUGGGGAAUAUUGCACGAUGGGCGGAAGCCGGAUGCAGCAACGCCGCGUGCGGGAUGACGGCCUUCGGGUUGUAAACCGCUUGCGCCUGUGACGAAGCGUGAGUGACGGUAAUGGGUAAAGAAGCACCGGCUAACUACGUG